AUCAUCCCUCAACUCACAACAGAAGCUUGUAGCUCAGUAAAUAACAAGGUGAGCCCAAGCACAUAGGGUGGAGGCUUGGAAAAGAAAUGUGGACACUGAGGUUCUAAGAUGAUUUCUUUGGUUCGAGGCACAUUUUCUUGCAUUUGUAUUGAUGACGGGAAGGGAAGCUGGCUAUCUGCAUAUGUGUUUACUUGACAACAGACAAGCUGAAGAGGCAUCGGAAGACCAGAGGGCAGCCCAAGCAGUCCCUCUAGUCACAACACAGGCACAUAACAUACGCAGAUGCCUUCUUAGGAAAGUAGUCAUGGGGAUUGGGGAAGUUUUGAGACAAGACAAAUGGCCAUUGAACUUGAAUGAAAAUAAACCAACCUGAAUGAAACUUUUAAUACUGAGAGACACUGAACUUACUUUAAUUAGGAAGUUUAAGUAUUUUUUCCUUACUACUCAGUUAUAGAAACAUAAAGAAUGCUCCAAUGUUUACAUAUUUCAGUGUGGUGGAUAAAAAUCUGACCCUACUACAAUGAGACUAACAAUUUUGGCUUCCUUAAUUUGGAACCUUACCCAUUGGAGACCUUGUUUCCUGGUCUCCCCAGAUCCUAUCCCCUUCCUGGUUCUGCGCCAGAGAAACGGGUACUGGGUAGAAAGCUGCAGUCCAUACUGGCUAUACUGCUAGUGAGCUAUAUGACCACUCUGCCUCUUAAUUUUCUAACCCAUAAAAUGGGAAGACUAAAAUAAAUGAACCUUGAAAUCUUUCCAGCUUAUGGAUAUUUUUUUCACAAUCUUCCCCCAUCCCAGCACUUUCUUCUCUUUCUCUUCAGGGUGUAUUUCAA
rnacentral:lncRNA from 10 species